UACGUAGGGUGCAAGCGUUGUCCGGAAUUAUUGGGCGUAAAGAGCUCGUAGGCGGCCUGUUGCGUCGGCUGUGAAAACCCGAGGCUCAACCUCGGGCCUGCAGCCGAUACGGGCAGACUAGAGUUCGGCAGGGGAGACUGGAAUUCCUGGUGUAGCGGUGAAAUGCGCAGAUAUCAGGAGGAACACCGGUGGCGAAGGCGGGUCUCUGGGCCGAUACUGACGCUGAGGAGCGAAAGCGUGGGGAGCGAACAGG
rnacentral:rRNA from 1 species